rnacentral:rRNA from 1 species
CAAAGUAUCUUCUGCCCACUGAUUUGUUGAAUGGCCGCAGUACUCUGACUGUGCUAAGGUAGCGUGAUUCUUGUUUUCUUAAUUAGAAAUCUGUUCAAAGAAUGAUAUGUAGAAAAUCUAUUGUUUUCAUAAUUGAUGAAUUUAAAUUGUUAGUGAAAAUUCUGACUAUUUUUUAAAAGACGAGAAGACCCCAUAAAACUUAAUUUGAUCUUUAUUUUUUACAGUUUAAAAUUUAAAUGGGGACUUUAGAGUAAUUUAAUAACUUUUUGACCUAACUUUUUAAUUGAUGAGAAGCUACUUUGGGGAUAACAGGGUGAGAUAUUUAGAGAGUCCUUAUCGAUAAAUAUAAUUACUACCUCGAUGUUGGAUUAUCUUUUCA